AAGCACUGGUCCAUGACGCGG
rnacentral:misc_RNA from 1 species